rnacentral:rRNA from 1 species
UACGAAGGGGGCUAGCGUUGUUCGGAAUCACUGGGCGUAAAGGGCGCGUAGGCGGCUUUAUAAGUCGGGGGUGAAAGCCUGUGGCUCAACCACAGAAUUGCCUUCGAUACUGUAGAGCUUGAGACCGGAAGAGGUAAGUGGAACUGCGAGUGUAGAGGUGAAAUUCGUAGAUAUUCGCAAGAACACCAGUGGCGAAGGCGGCUCACUGGUCCAGUACUGACGCUGAGGUGCGAAAGCGUGGGGAGCAAACAGG